ACUCAAAUGAAUAGACGGGGACUUGCACAAGCGGUGGAUUAUGCGGUUCAAUUCGAUGGCAAACGAAAAACCUUACCAAGGCUAGAAAUCUAGACGAAUGUUGCAGAAACGUAACAGUCCGCAAGGACGUCUAGACAGGUGAUGCAUGGCCGUCGUCAGUUCGUGAUUUGAAUUGUUCCCUUAAGUGGGGUAACGAACGCAACCCUUGUUGCCUGUUAUAUAUGUCAGGCGAGACCGCCCCUCACUAAUUUCGGAAACAGAAGUUUAUGAAAUUAGUGAGGGGAGGAAGCGAGGAUGACGCCAGGUCAGCAUGUCCCUCUGACGCCUUGGGCUACACGCAUAAUACAAUGGCCGGUACAACAGGUCGCGACGACGCAAGUCUGAGCCAAUCCUUAGAAAACCGGCCCCAGUUCGGAUUGGGGGCUGCAACUCGACCCCAUGAAGUUGGAAUCGCUAGUAAUCGCAGGUCAGCUAUACUGCGGUGAAUACGUUCUCAAGUCUUGUACACACCGCCCGU
rnacentral:rRNA from 1 species